rnacentral:rRNA from 1 species
UGGGGAAUAUUGCACAAUGGGCGCAAGCCUGAUGCAGCCAUGCCGCGUGUAUGAAGAAGGCCUUCGGGUUGUAAAGUACUUUCAGCGGGGAGGAAGGCGAUGUGGUUAAUAACCGCGUCGAUUGACGUUACCCGCAGAACAAGCACCGGCUAACUCCGUG